CUUGGCGGAGACCCUCCCCUAUUCCACCUCCCUCCCCAACACAUACAGCUCUGGCUGAGGGGGCACUUCCUCCCCCCAGCAUCCCUGACUCAAACCGCCACCCAAAAGCAAUAGGGAGAAAGGGUUAAAAGUUGCACAACGCAUCCGGGAGUCACCGAGCAGCAGCAGCAGCCUGGGCUCUGCAUCCCGAGCCCCGGGCUGCAGCAGAGGCGCUGGGGUGAGCGCUACAGUCGGGUGCCCGUCACCCACCCCGAGCCCGGCGGGCCCCUCACCUUGCGCGUUGUGCUGGUUGUUCUCCAUGAUCGAGGGGGUCGCCGAGCUGCUGCCCAGCUCGGCCAGUCUCCGGUUGGUGGCUGUCAGCUCGGCUCGCAGGGUUGCUUGGAGCACACUGGACUAAGCAAGAGGCCCGCCAAGUCCGUUGGGAAUAGACGGUGCUCUGCCAUUCCCAGGAUUGAAUCUGUAGGUACUUAAGGGCAACAUGUCACUCGGGGUUUAUCUACACAGUGGGGGAAUGUAUUCUGUGGGGGAGUGAUUUCUAAAGGACACUCAGUCUUGUGCAUUAGUUGGUUCAUGUAGAUACAGUAGUACAUUAAAGCACACUAGGAAACCUUAAGAGUACACAAGUAGGGUCUACACAGACCAAUUAAUAUGCAACACAUCAGUGCGCUUUAGAAAUCACACCCCUGUAAAGCACAUUACCUUAUGGUGUAAACAAAUGCUAAAUUAUGGAAAGUUUGUAAACAGUAUCUCAACAGACACAAAUAGUGCCAAACCUCUUACCGAUCUAUCUCAGAUUAAGAUGGCCACAGCAUUUAUGGGGUGAAGCUGCAGCCCAUGGAAACUCCUAAUGAGGCUGUUGCUUGAGGAAUUUGCACUGUGUCCCACCUAGGGACAAGGGAUUGGCCAUUGUGUGGAGUACUGAAAAUUAAUCCCCUUCAGUUUUCAAAGUAUGAAUUCUCAAGUCAGUCAAUACACAGGGUAAAAUUCUGUUCUCUGCACAUUGGAACUAUAUGCUGAUAUUCUGGUCUCUCUGCAAAGGUGGAUCUCCCAGUGAUAUUGAUGGGUCUCCCAUAUACACACUGUG
rnacentral:lncRNA from 1 species